GAAUCCAGGCUAUCCGGAGAGAACCCAAGGAGGCACAAAGAGAACAUGCAAACUUAAGAGACUGGCUGUGGGUGGACGGACAGGAGAUGGACUAUGAGGCCUGGAGUGAAGAGGGGAAACCACUGUGCCAGCACCCCAAGAUGAAGUGUGGAGCCCUACAGGAGAUGGACUAUGAGGCCUGGAGUGAAGAGGGGAAACCACUGUGCCCGCAACCCAAGAUGAAGUGUGGAGCCC